UAUAAAGCCAAUACGGUGGGCGCAGACAUUAAAUGUUUCUCCGUGUUGCUUUCUCUAUGUAGUUAGAAACCAAAUUAAGUCUUCAGUCCUUUAGCUUGAACAUAAGGACAUUUUAUAUUAAUUUUCGAAAUAUGAAGGAGAAAUUAUCACCGGAAGAGCCGAUGCAAGAACGUCUUGGAACCUCCACGGCGUUUUUUACACGUCCGCUAUAAAAGUACCAUGGGGAAUUCAACUGAAAUACUGAUUUUUCUACAAGGACUGAAUGAGACAGUGUCAAGCAAGCGCACAUACUUUAUCCUCAUUCUUCUUGUUUACAUUUUUACUGUUUUAGCGAACCUGACUGUGAUUGGGACAGUUAUUUUGGAGAAAACGCUGCAUGAGCCCAUGCUUGUAUUCCUGUGUAACUUGUGUAUAAAUGGUAUACUUGGUGCCUCCAUAUUUUAUCCUAAAAUAUUGGCGGACCUUUUAUCUGACUUAAGUGUUACUUCGUAUAAAGCGUGUCUGGGUCAAAUUUUUCUAAUAUACUGCUACGUGUACUGCGAAUAUGGUACGUUAGCAGUGAUGGCUUACGACAGGUAUAUCGCGAUAUGCAAGCCGCUCAAUUACCACUCCAUCAUCACGCCACAGAAGGUGAUUAAAUUACUGUUAUUUACCUGGCUUUCAUCCAUCUGUGAAUCAGUUGUUGUGGUGGGCUUGAUAGCCAGACUGCCCCUCUGUGGAUUCAACAUCGAUAAGCUUUACUGCACUGCCUGGGACGUGGUAAAGCUGUCGUGUGUGGACACCUCUAUCAACAACAUAUGCGGGUACAUUCUCAUGGCUCUUCAACUUUCGCUAGCAUUUAUGGUUGUGAUUUCCUAUUUUUAUAUCAUCAGAGCAUGUGUGCGAUCGCCGAAAGAACGAAGUAAGUUCAUGCAGACCUGUUUGCCCCAUUCAAUCGCUCUGUCCAAUUUCUUAAUCGCACACGGUUUUGACCUCAUGUACACGCGCUAUGGUCCCACCGACCGUCUGCAGGCUCUCCGCAAUGUCAUGUCCCUGGACUACCUCAUUGUUCCACCCAUCCUAAAUCCCCUAGUUUAUGGUCUGAAACUGAACCAAAUCCGCCGGAGGAUCUUUAGAAUGAUAAGUCAGAAAACACAUGCUCUAAAGUGAAUGUUUGUACUUUGUUCAGGCAGGAAAAUCAAUAUCCGCCUACAGAUGUUUUCAUAAAAUGACAACAAUACAAUAAUUAUUCUAAACAGCAGAACUAAAGGAUUCAAAGAUGCCACACAGUUUUAGAUAUUACCGGAAGUAAUAUUAGCCUAUCUUGUUCUAGUGGCCUGCUUUGGUUUACAUUAUGUUUUUUAGUUUCACGCAAAACUUUGCGGGGUAUGGGUUGCGAUGCCUGGUGUAUGAAAACAUGGCCCUUAUAGUACAUUCAGAGCGGGAAAACCCAGACAGAUGCAAACUGGAAUGAGUCACUUUUUUAUCCCGUGUUGAGACUGCUAUUCAUAUUCAAGAGAGUAAAAAAAUGUUGAUUACAUUUUAGGUUACAGUGAUAAAAAUAAUUAUUAAUGUUCCUGUGUUUUUCCAAAAUGAGUCUUUCUCUUAGAUAUUUACAAAAAUAUCAUAAGGCAAUAAAUAUAUAGAACAAUGUUUUAAUGAGGUCUGUUGUUAUUUAACUUUUUGAAUUCUGGUGUUCAGUCGUUGUUGGGGAAACCUAGUCUCUGCUAUCAUUCUUUUCUCUCUAUCCUAUGACGCAUUGUGCAGACAGGUGCAGCCACCUCAAGGCCAGAUGAGGUAAUCAGCGGAAAGUUUUGAUUGAAGAUCACAGUGGAGAGAAGUUAUUGGUGGACACAUUCUAUGAGCGUGCCCAACGUGUGGGGAUUCUGAUUCUUGCCAAUUAAAGAUGGAUGUAUCAGACAGUUCAGGACUGCGUCUUGGACUGCCCUUCAGAAACUCUCCCUGUGUGCAGAUUGGUCAACAAAUGUCACUUGUUGGACCAGCCAUUGCCAUCUCAUCCUUGGGGUUCCUAGACAAAGAAAUGGUAAUGGCAAGCAUAUUUGUUUUUUUCUGUAGCAUUUAUUUUGUUUCACAUAAACUUGUAUCUCGGUGAGUAAAGCAUUUUUGGUUUGCAGUAGUUUCAGAGACUGUUCAAACUAAUAUUUAGGAUUAUAAAUUCUAAUAAAAAUGAUACUUUAACUACAGUGAACAUAAACUGUCAUGGUUCUGCGUUUUCCCGUCUGUUUCCUUGUUAGGCCGCCAGAUGGCGGCACUUCUGUUUUGUGUCCUGUUUAAUCGUAUUAUUGUUUUCAAUUAUCCCAUUAUUGUUUGCUGAGUGUCUCGUUUUCCCUUCUCUCUCUGUGGCCUGAUUGUUCAUUGUGCCCUCCUGUGUCUCGUCUGUGUCUGCCUAUUUAAGUUUCCCGUCUCCUGAACUCAGUGUUGGAUCCUUGCUCGUUGUUGUUGAUUGUGUCUGGUUGUGUUCGGUCGCGCAUGUUCCUGCCUUGUGUAUUCCUGCCCACCUUCUGGUUCCCUUGUGUUUUUGGAUUUUCUGCUUUUUCCUUGUUCCUGUGUUUUUUUUUAAGUUUGUCUGUGUUUUUGAGAGUUGCCCUGCGAGGCCUUUUGUUCCCUUUUUCUAAAGUAAAGUCUUUUGUUCUGA